UGCUUCUCUUUGGUUGAAGCUGCCAGGAUAUUUCAUCUGUCCCACUGCACUCACCCUGCUGCCUGCACUCUUGCUAAUACAAGCCAGGUUAAGGGUGGCCGUCUUUGCUGCAGGAGCACCCUGCUGACUUCUUGUCAACUUGAUGUCCACCAGGACCUGCAGGUCAUUCCCCAGAUCCUCUUCCUUGUCCUUUCUUGAAGAUGGAUGUCAUGUUUGGGGGGGGAGGUGGGGAGGGCCGAGGGCUGCACCACCAGUCCCUGCGGUGUGGGGAGAGGGGAUGGGACAUGGGGCAGCACAGGGGUAGCAUCAGGUCGGUAGGACAGGGGCAGGGGGCAGUGGGGGCUGCAGCAAGCAGUCAUGGCCGGUGUUUCUGCAGCACAGCAGCUGUUGCGUUCACCUCACAUGGCUUUCUCUGUCCCUUGUGCUGCCUCCUCCUGGGAAAUGUUCCUGAAGCAGACUAAAAUAAUCACCUGUUUUCCUGUUCUAAAGUGUAGAGAGAGACUGAUUCCAGCAUUGCAAUUUGUCUUGUCAGAGAAUGACUAUCUAUGAAAGGUAGAAACGUCCCACUCUGGAAGUCCCAAUUCCCAUCACUUAACUAGGCAGGACACCUAGACAGGGACAAGAAUAGAGUUUGUUUUCCCAUGGUUUGGGUAUUGCUUCAGAUGACUCAGUUUGGGCUUCUCAGGCUGCUUUAGAAGGCCCUGGGAUGCAGUGAGAUUCAGAUCCUUCCCGUGAGCUCCACAAAAAACACAUGGGAAGUGGGAGUCCCCUUGCCCAGGCAGAAGUGAGCACAGCACGGAUGUCUGCAUGCAAGAUCUUGGUCUAUACUCCCAUUAUAAUCACUGGAGAUGGAGGGUGGAAGUCAGCUGGUCACACACAAACACCUGGUGACAUUGGAAGAGACAGAGGUGCUUGAAGGCAUGUGCCAGUGCGUUUGCUCUGAUGGAGCAAGUGUGACACCUACAUCCUUCUAGAGCAUGAGUUGGGGGCCAGGCAGGGAAUUGCCUUGGCCACCUGAAAAGAUACUAGAUGCCCACUGCUACCAGAGCUCCACUCACCAGGAAGCCGAGACACAUGCAGAUCCCAACAUUGCAAACAGUUGAUGUCAUCCAGUGCAGGCACCUGAUUCAGUGACACAGAAAUAGGCCAGCAGGGCCAUGUCGGAUGCCUGGGGUGUCCAGCACAACCACAUGUUUCUUGCAGAUACACCAUGGGACCUCUAGGAAAACCAUGCCCCUUUGGAGUGACUGCUGGGCAAGUGCCCCAGGGCAACUCAGGUUUCCUACCAGCACCCAAACAACUGGAUCCCACCACUGCCUUUAGGCCAAGUCCUUCUGACGUACAGCCAAGUGUGCUUCACAAAUGGGAGAGGCACAUCACAGCAAGGUCUCUGCUCUAGUCUCUGCACCCUUAAAACCUUCUAGCUUCCCUCCUCCUGAACCUCCUCUCACCCCCAGAUGA
rnacentral:lncRNA from 1 species